UACGGGGGGGGCAAGCGUUUGUUCGGAAUUACUGGGCGUAAAGCGCGUGUAGGCGGCUCUUCAAGUCGAGUGUGAAAGCUCCAGGCUUAACCUGGGAAUUUGCGCUCGAUACUGUUGAGCUAGAGUGUGGAAGGGGCUACUGGGAAUUCCGUGUGUAGCGGUGAAAUGGCGUAGAGAUGAUGGAGGAACACCAGUGGCGAAGGCGACUUUCUGGCCUAAUAACUGAC
rnacentral:rRNA from 1 species